UUCUCAUCGCUUAACAAUGUUAUGUUUAAAACACUGAUGGCAGAUGGACUAUUACAAUUUUUCAUUUUGGGGUGGAGUAUCCCUUUAAUUCUCAUGAUGUAAACUGGCCUCAUUUAAUUGAAAGAAUACAUUGACAAAUAUUGUAUAGUAAUUCCAGUUUGAUUAUUUAUUUAUUUAUUUUGCACAGUAAUAAUAUUUAUUUUAUGUGGAGAAAUAUUUAUUUUUCUUCUUUUUUUAUUAUUCUGACAGUUUUUUAUGUCCAUGAAAAGAGUGCACAUUUUAGGAACAUGACACAUUUUUUUCUUGGAAUAUGCUUUGGAUGUGUUGUGGUCUUCUGUCUAAAACUGUUUAGAGGAUUUAGUCGGAUGCAGUUUAAUUGGAUCUCUUAAUUUUUUCUAUCUUUGGCACUAUUUGUCGAACACAUUUCCUCAUGUGGCCUUCUCAGAUCAGUGCAUACCUCUCAUAUGAUCAUGUAUGCAUAUGGAGCAGUUGGUCUUGUUUUGUUGAACUCUGGACUACUGACAUCAGAACUGAUUCUGGAAACAUGGAACGGGGAGCGUAUCAUCAAGGAUCUAAGAAUCAUUGUCUUCCCCUGUGAAUGUGUUUUGGCCUUAUAUUGGAUAAUUAACUUCCGUUCUUUCUAAGUAUUUUAUAAUAUUUUUUUAAUGGAGACUCAGCUUUUGUUUUUUUUGCUAAAUAUUUUGACAUUCUAAAUAUUACAAUAUGGUAACAUGGCAUUUCAUUUUUUUUCUCUCUCUCUCUUUUUAAUGCAUCCUGUCAUAUAGUGAACAUUAGGCCUGAGUUAUUUCCAUUUUUUAAUCUUUACAGCUGUUAUCCUCUAGAAAAAAAACUGUGUAGAUCGAUAGUUGAUGAACAU